AGUUUCAACUAAGCAUUCGUCGUGAGAGGAAAUCGAGAUGCAUCUGUUUUGACGUUGUUAUUGAUUGAGUUUUGUAAGUCAGAAUGCUGUAAUAAAAAAUAUUCUGUUUACUAGGCCUUUUUUCAAGAAGUACAUACUGGACGAAAUAAUGGGAAUUUAACAAACAUAAUUCUGGGACCCAUAUGUAAAAACGUGCGUUAAGGAAGCUAUUAGAAUCUAAAUUGACAAUCACCUCCUUUCGUACGAGCACUAAAAGUCUGACCACUUGAGAUGUCGCAGACAUCCAGAUGAGAUGAUGCAACCCCGAUUGCCUAUCAUCAUUUUGUGACAAUUAGCACACCGAUUAACGACAGUCUAACGGCCAAACAUGCUUGAAUGAAGGGAAGAAGAAGAAAGGCGAGAGGGCGGCACCAUGUUAAUGAAGACUAUCAACAGCACACUUCCUAUUGCUCGGGAGAAUGAUGAUAAUGGCUAGUUGUUAAUCAUGGAAAUGUAGGGCGUAGAAGCUACUGUCGCGUCUGUUUAGCGGAAGUGCAUCCCGCGACCACGUUAAUUAUUCUUUUAGAAGCAUAAGAAGACAAGCCUCCCGACGGCUUGCAAAUGAUACGAGGUGCAAAUAAGUCAAAGCAAAAACAUAUGCUGUGCGAAAGAUGAAUACGUUCAGAUAAGAUCAUGUUCUUCCAAAACCAAAAUAUAAUUUGGCUACUUGAUGGUUAAUUAAUUUAUUAAUUUAUUUUUUUUCAUUUCAGGUUUAAAAGACAACUGGUUAAUAUUGCUCUAAAUUCAACGGAUGCCAACCUUGAGAUGGAACAACUUGCGUUACAAUCUUCAAUUUGGCUGGCUUUAAGAUUACAGGACGCAGUUUAGCUUAAAAUAUUCUUUUCCACUUCAGCAAGAGAAUAUAAUCUUGUCAAAGUCGGCAAUUCGUUGGACUAGAAAGCCGGACAUUGCGUGUCGAAAUCCUGCUCAGUGCAGGCGAUUUUUUUUUUCAACAUCUGCCAGAUUAAAUAACCUAUUGAAAAAAAAACCUUCGAAAGGUCACCCAGCCUUGCUUGAGGACUAUUUAGUAUUCUUUUCAGCUGAAAAUUUAAGCUCUUAUCUUAUCCACACAUUAUAGAUCUGUGAGCAUUUUCAUG